GGACACAUUUCGGAGAAAAUAACGUAAUUUACGUUGACAUCGUAGAGGUCGUUGGUUCGAAUCCAAUUGAGUCCACCA
rnacentral:tRNA from 1 species